GUGCUCACUUCAGUAACACAUAUGCAAAAACUGGAACAGAGGAGAGAAGAUUAACAUGGUCCCUGCACAAGGAUGAAGCAGUCCAUAUGCUAUGGGAUGUUCUGUAUGU